AGAGUUUGAUCAUGGCUCAGGACAAACGCUGGCGGCGUGCCUAACACAUGCAAGUCGAGCGCGAAAGGGACCUUCGGGUCCCCUGAAAGCGGCGAACGGGUGAGUAACAAGUGGGCAACCUGCCUCAAGGACUGGGAUAACUCCGGGAAACCGGGGCUAAUACCGGGCGAUGUCGUCUGGCGCAAGCCGGCCGACCAAAUGGUAGCUUCGGCCUCCGCCUUGAGAUGGGCCCGCUUCCUAUCAGCUUGUUAGUGAGGUAACGGCUCACCAAGGCUACGACGGGUAGCUGGUCUGAGAGGAUGAUCAGCCACACUGGGACUGAGAUACGGCCCAGACUCCUACGGGAGGCAGCAGUGGGGAAUUUUGCGCAAUGGGCGAAAGCCUGACGCAGCAACGCCGCGUGAGCGAAGAAGGCCUUCGGGUUGUAAAGCUCUGUCAGGGGGAAAGAAGGCACCUGGGUUAAUAGCCCAAGGGCUGACGGUACCCCCAAAGGAAGCCACGGCUAACUACGUGCCAGCAGCCGCGGUAAUACGUAGGUGGCGAGCGUUGUCCGGAAUCAUUGGGCGUAAAGAGCGCGUAGGUGGCUUGUCAGGUCUGAUGUGAAAUCCUGGGGCUCAACUCCAGAACUGCAUCGGAAACCGGCUUGCUAGAGUCUGGGAGAGGAGAGUGGAAUUCCUGGUGUAGCGGUGAAAUGCGUAGAUAUCAGGAGGAACACCGGUAGCGAAGGCGGCUCUCUGGAACAGUACUGACGCUGAGGCGCGAAAGCUAGGGGAGCGAACAGGAUUAGAUACCCUAGUAGUCC
rnacentral:rRNA from 1 species